GAUGAAGAACGUAGCGAAAUGCGAUAAGUAAUGUGAAUUGCAGAAUUCAGUGAAUCAUCGAAUCUUUGAACGCACAUUGCGCCCAUUAGUAUUCUAGUGGGCAUGCCUGUUCGAGCGUCAUUUCAACCCUUAAGCCUAGCUUAGUGUUGGGAGACUGCCUAAUACGCAGCUCCUCAAAACCAGUGGCGGAGUCUGUUCGUGCUCUGAGCGUAGUAAUUUUUUAUCUCGCUUCUGCAAGCCGGCCAGACGACAGUCAUAAACCGCACCCUCUCGGGGGGCACUUUUUUAAUGGUUGACCUCGGAUCAGGUAGGAAUACCCGCUGAACUUAAGCAUAUCAAUAAGCGGAGGA
rnacentral:misc_RNA from 1 species